UACGGAGGGUGCAAGCGUUAUUCGGAUUUACUGGGCGUAAAGGGCGCGUAGGCGGUUGAUCAAGUCAGAUGUGAAAUCCCGGGGCUCAACCCCGGAAGUGCAUCUGAAACUGGUUGGCUUGAGUAUGGUAGAGGGAAGUGGAAUUCCUGGUGUAGCGGUGAAAUGCGUAGAUAUCAGGAGGAACACCGGUGGCGAAGGCGACUUCCUGGACCAAAACUGACGCUGAGGCGCGAAGGUGUGGGGAGCAAACAGG
rnacentral:rRNA from 1 species